AUUGAACGCUGGCGGCAGGCCUAACACAUGCAAGUCGAACGGUAACAGGAAGACGCUUGCUUCUUUGCUGCCGAGUGGCGGACAGGUGAGUAAUGUCUGGGAAACUGCCUGAUGGAGGGGGAUAACUACUGGAAACGGUAGCUAAUACCGCAUAACGUCGCAAGACCAAAGAGGGGGACCUUCGGGCCUCUUGCCAUCGGAUGUGCCCAGAUGGGAUUAGCUAGUAGGUGGGGUAACGGCUUACCUAGGCGCCGAUCCCUAGCUGGUCUGAGAGGAUGACCAGCCACACUGGAACUGAGACACGGUCCAGACUCCUACGGGAGGAAGCAGUGGGGAAUAUUGCGCAAUGGGGGAAAGCCUGAUGCAGCCAAGCCGCGUGUAUGAAGAAGGACUUCGGGUUGUAAAGUACUUUAAGCGGGGAGGAAGGGAGUAAAGUUAAUACCUGUGCUCAUUGACGGUACCCGCAGAAGAAGCACCGGCUAACUCCGUG
rnacentral:rRNA from 1 species